rnacentral:rRNA from 1 species
UACCAGCACCCCGAGUGGUCGGGACGAUUAUUGGGCCUAAAGCAUCCGUAGCCGGUUCUGCAAGUCCUCCGUUAAAUCCAGCUGCUCAACAGAUGGGCCGCGGAGGAUACUACAGAGCUAGGAGGCAGGAGAGGCAAGCGGUACUCAGUGGGUAGGGGUAAAAUCCGUUGAUCCAUUGAAGACCACCAGUGGCGAAGGCGGCUUGCCAGAAUGCGCUCGACGGUGAGGGAUGAAAGCUGGGGGAGCAAACCGG